GAUGAAGAACGUAGCGAAAUGCGAUAAGUAAUGUGAAUUGCAGAAUUCAGUGAAUCAUCGAAUCUUUGAACGCACCUUGCGCCCCUUGGCUAUUCCGAAGGGCAUGCCUGUUUGAGUAUCAUGAACACCUCAACUCUUCACGGCUUGCCGUGAUGAGUUUGGACUUUGGGGGUCUUGCUGGCCUACGAGCCAGCUCCUCUCAAAUGUAUUAGCUUGCCGGUGUUUGGUGGCAUCACAGGUGUGAUAACUAUCUACGCUUGUGGUUUUCCACUAGGUAACCUUCAGCAAUGGAGGUUCACCGGAGCUCACAAAUGUCUCUCCUUGCCAAGGACAGAUUUUGACCAUUUGAUCUCAAAUCAGGUAGGACUACCCGCUGAACUUAAGCAUAUCAAUAAGCGGAGGA
rnacentral:misc_RNA from 1 species